ensembl:lncRNA novel transcript
AUGAUCUUAAGUAAGCCCAUUUUGCUUCAAUUUUCUUAUCUAGAAAAUGGGGAUAAUAACACCCAUGUUAUAGAGUUAUUCUGAUGAUUUCUAAGAGUCUCAGAGACCUAGGAUCCACAAAAUCAAAACAACAAAACCAAGCCUUUGUGCACAUCUGUGGUUGUGACCAGUUGGAGAGACAUUAGGAGAUGAGAUACUAUGUUCACUCCUCACAGCUGUACCAGGGACCUGAGAUAUUCCGUCACUAUUCUAUGAGCCUGGGCUGGUGAAUGGUUCCUGCUUUCACUAUUCCAGAUGUCCAGCUCUGUACCUUGCUGCUCUCCUUAAAGCCUGCCUCCCUCUAGGGAGCUAUGGUGCAUUACUCACGAGUGACAGAACCAACGAGCUUCAUCUCCCAAGAGGCUGGUGCAUCUGUUUAAAGGAGCAGGCACUAGGCAGAGCAGCCCCCACCCCACCCUCCAUGGCAGAGUGCAGUGGGGGAAGAAGUUUUCAUAGAAAUGCUUUCUAUAAAGCAUUUUCAUAGAGAAAGCAGGUUCAUAUAGAAAGCACUGGCUGCUGGUUGGAGUGGAGAGAUUGAAGACCCUCAUCUAGGAUCAAGCAACCCCCAGAAAACAAUUUUAAACAUGUCCAUUCAGACAAAAGGAGUCCAAAACCAUAAGAUCCUCUCAGCAUCCUGAACUAAUGUCCAGCUGUUAUCUCGAUGGGGAAACUGAGGCACAGAGAGGUUAGAGAUAUGCCUGAAGCCACACAGCUUGCAAGUGGUGGAUCUGGGAUUUGAACUUGUCGAUCUGGCUGCAGAGCUGAGCUCUUGGAGACUAGGUUUUACUGCCUAGUAGCAUGUAAGCCUGGAACUGCCGGCAGUCAUUUUGUAAGUUUGCCGAGUGAACCUCAAUGAGCAUGAAGCAGAGAGGAAAGCAGUACUAAGAGAUGCAAAAGAGUCUGUGUUCCAGCAAUGGGAUCUGAAGUCCUGGAUCAAACCUUACCUGGAGACAAGAUUUACCCAUCAGACAUGCCAGUUAUAAGACCCAAAUUUACCCUUUUUGGGGGAUUGAGUUUGAAUGAGUAUUUUUGUUUGUUUGUUUUGGCAUCAGAAAGACUCCUGAUUAAUACACAGUGUGACGCUGACCAAGAUGCUUCCUUUCUCUAGGACUCAAUUUUCUUAUCUGUAAAGUAAAGGGUUCAUCAACAUUCUUUGGUUGAAUCUUACCUGAAACAUUUUGUGAGCCUUCACCAAUCUCAUCUAAGCCUUUGUUUCCAUAGAACAAAGCCCUUUAAGAAAGGAGGGGAAAGUGUCAUGGAGUCUUACUGUCCUGAGUGCAAAUAUGGUCUCUGUAUUGUCCUUAUCUGUUCAUUUUCUGCCUCUCAGUACUAGAAUGAAAACUCUGGAAGAAGAAGGAAUUUUGUCUGAUUUUCUUACUGCUGUAUCCUCAGUAUUUUGAACUGUUUCUAACUCAGAGUACAAUCUCAAAAUUUUUUUUGAUUUUCAUAUAUCUGUAUAUAUAUUUGUUAAAUGAGUGAAGAAAUCCUUAUAUGUCUUUAUGGAUAAC